rnacentral:rRNA from 1 species
UGGGGAAUAUUGGACAAUGGGCGCAAGCCUGAUCCAGCCAUGCCGCGUGAGUGAUGAAGGCCUUAGGGUUGUAAAGCUCUUUCGCCGGUGAAGAUAAUGACGGUAACCGGAGAAGAAGCCCCGGCUAACUUCGUGCCAGCAGCCGCGGUAAUACGAAGGGGGCUAGCGUUGCUCGGAAUCACUGGGCGUAAAGCGCACGUAGGCGGAUCGUUAAGUCAGGGGUGAAAUCCUGGAGCUCAACUCCAGAACUGCCCUUGAUACUGGCGAUCUCGAGUUCGAGAGAGGUUGGUGGAACUCCGAGUGUAGAGGUGAAAUUCGUAGAUAUUCGGAAGAACACCAGUGGCGAAGGCGGCCAACUGGCUCGAUACUGACGCUGAGGUGCGAAGCGUGGGAGCAAACAGGAUUAGAUACCCUGGUAGUCCACGCCGU